GUCCUACGGGACGCAGCAGUGGGGGAUAUUGCACAAUGGGGGAAACCCUGAUGCAGCGAUGCCGCGUGGGUGAAGAAGCGCCUCGGCGCGUAAAGCCCUGUCAGCAGGGAAGAAAAUGACGGUACCUGAAGAAGAAGCCCCGGCUAACUACGUGCCAGCAGCCGCGGUAAUACGGAGGGUGCGAGCGUUAAUCGGAAUUACUGGGCGUAAAGCGCUCGUAGGCGGUAUGUCAAGUCAAGGGUGAAAUCCCAGCGCUCAACGUGGGAACUGCCUUUGAAGCUGGCAAACUGGCGUGUGUGCGAGGG
rnacentral:rRNA from 1 species